rnacentral:tRNA from 1 species
GCCUGGGUGGCUCAGUCGGUUGAGCAUCUGACUUCGGCUCAGGUGGUGAUCUCACAGUUUGUGGGAUCGAGCCCCACAUCAGGCU